AGGUCUAUAUAGCUCAGUGGUUUAGAGUGGCUGCCUGCAUCCCUGCUCCAUACCAGCAGGCCAUGUGUUCAAGUCUCACUGGGUCUA